UAUGUAAUUGGCACUGGUGUCUGGCAUGUUCCAGUGUGGCUGGCUUCACAGCUGUUUACAUAUUAAAGUGCCAUGUUUGCAUUUACUACUACUGUUCCAGCAACUCAGUGAGUAAGAUUUACACGGCGGGGGGAGGACCAGAAGAAUCCUUGGUAUCAGAGAGAACGGGCUUACCCAGGUUGUGGUUUAGACUUCCUUCUCAUUGCAGGGGAUGUGCCCUCUUUACUGUGCUGCCAGAGAAGUCUAGAGUGUGACUAAUGGAAGUCUCACUAGUGGACAGACAGUAUAUGAGCCUCUCACAUUUGGAAAUGAUUCCAAGUGACCUUGGAUGACCAUGAGGCUGCCUUCUCAUUCUUACUAUGAAGAUGGUGCCUGGCA
rnacentral:lncRNA from 1 species